CCUACGGGAGGCAGCAGUGAGGAAUAUUGGUCAAUGGCCGUAAGGCUGAACCAGCCAAGUAGCGUGAGGGAAGACGGCCCUAUGGGUUGUAAACCGCUUUUAUACGGGGAUAAAGGUGUUUACGUGUGGAUGUUUGCAGGUACCGCAUGAAUAAGGACCGGCUAAUUCCGUGCCAGCAGCCGCGGUAAUACGGAAGGUCCGGGCGUUAUCCGGAUUUAUUGGGUUUAAAGGGAGCGUAGGCCGGUUGUAAAGCGUGCUGUGAAAUUUUGUGGCUCAACCCUGAGCGUGUUGCGCGAACUGGAGACCUUGAGUGCGCGGAAGGCAGGCGGAAUUCGUGGUGUAGCGGUGAAAUGCUUAGAUAUGACGAAGAACCCCGAUUGCGAAGGCAGCCUGCCGCAGCGUUACUGACGCUGAUGCUCGAAAGCGCGGGUAUCGAACAGGAUUAGAUACCCGUGUAGUC
rnacentral:rRNA from 1 species